rnacentral:sRNA from 1 species
ACACACAAUGAUUAGGACCCUGCUGCUGUCUGCUUUGGUGGCUGGAGCCCUCAGUUGUGGGGACCCCACUUACCCGCCUUAUGUGACUAGGGUGGUUGGAGGUGAAGAAGCGAGGCCCAACAGCUGGCCCUGGCAGGUGAGUCAACCACACUGUACUUCCCCCCAUCCCUGCCCCACUCCAUUUACAUCCCCGCUUUGCCCUUCCACCAUGGAGUCUAUUGUGCUGGCAAAGUGAGGAUUGAUGGGACUCAGAGAGCAGCACAGGCAACUUCACCAAUAAGAUGCAUUUCCGGCUGAGCACAGUGGCCCAUGCCUGUUAUCCCAGCACCCUGAGAGGCUGUGGUGGGCAGAUCACCUGAAGUCAGGAGUUUGAGACCAGCCUGGCCAACAUGGUGAAAACCACCUCUACUAAUAAUAGCCAGGCGUGGCGGCACACACCUGUAAUCCCAGCAACUCGGGAGGCUGAGGCAGGAGGAUCGCUUGAACCCAGGAGGCAGAGGUUGCAGUGAGCUGAAAUUGCACCACUGCACUCCAGCCUGGGAAACAAAGCAAGACUCUGUCUCAAAAAAAAAAAAAAAAAAAAA